CUGGAGGUAUCAGAAGUGCGAAUGCUGACAUAAGUAACGAUAAAGCGGGUGAAAAGCCCGCUCGCCGGAAGACCAAGGGUUCCUGUCCAACGUUAAUCGGGGCAGGGUGAGUCGACCCCUAAGGCGAGGCCGAAAGGCGUAGUCGAUGGGAAACAGGUUAAUAUUCCUGUACUUGGUGUUACUGCGAAGGGGGGACGGAGAAGGCUAUGUUGGCCGGGCGACGGUUGUCCCGGUUUAAGCGUGUAGGCUGGU
rnacentral:rRNA from 1 species